rnacentral:lncRNA from 1 species
AGUGCAUAGUAAAGACACUACUUCUUUAAUGAUGUACUUUUAUGUGGCAUAUUACUACUUAAUGGUCAAGAGCCAGCUAUAUAUUAGACAGUGGCUACUGAUCAUAAUGUCCUGGCAAGUUGGGUUUCCUAAGAAAAUGGUUGGCAGGGUUGGCAGAACUCUUGCGACUAAACAUAAGGCACAGAAUCAGAACUGGUAUAGUCUGUAAUCUUUUUUUUUUGUACCGGGGAUCGAACUCGGGACCUUAUGCUUGCGAGGCAGGCAGCAGAACCACUGAGCUAAAAGCCCUGGCCCUUAAGUCUGUAAUCUUAAAAGCAGUUACAGUUAAGCUUUUCCAGUGGUACAAAAUCAUGAUAGUUUAUUUUGUAGUUACUGAGCAAGAGUUGCUCACCUUAAGGGAGGAACUUUCUUUUCCAAAGGCCAUGAGAAUGGCCGAAACAAAAAGAUUAAUGAUCACAAGAACCAUAAGUGAUGUGACACUGGUGAGGAUCAGGAAGGAGCUGAGUGACUGACAGUUGAGUUUCUACCUCACAGACAAGCUAUGUGCUACAUAUGGUACAUGUUCUUGAGCCAACAUUUGUUAGAAAGUAGGAAGAGGUGCCAAAAGAUACUAAAUUUUAAGUGGACAUACAAGAAAGAAUGACCGAAUCUAAAGAUACUAAAGUAUUUUGACCUCACAGCUUUUACAGGAAGAAAACAAUUGAAUUGUAGUGGAAUUGUAAGUUACUCAAAUUCCAUCUGAGUUUUGGCAGUUCUGGAAAAUAUGUCUGAACAUGGAAGCCUCGGGUCUUGCAAACACACCUGGAAAUAAUCCACACCAGAAGUGAUCAUGAAAACCACCUCUGCCACCAUGAGAAGUUUCUCUGAACACAGGAGGGUUCCAAUUAAAACAAAACCACACAGAAAGCCAGCCUUUUAGUAUGAUUUUUUCCAGUAGUCCUUUUUAAAGACUGAAUUCCGUCCUCCUUUGCUUUUCUGCAUGAAAGAUUCUUUACAAAUUUAGGUCUUACCUAGAAUGGUUUCUAUAUGAUCCUUAUUUUCCCUUGCUAUUUGCCCAUUCAUUUAAAACUGGGGCACUGUUUAAAAUCCUAAGAACUCAUUGGACGAUUACCUGCAACACCACUGUGAAAAAAAAUCUGUGAUAAAAUUUAUUUCCAAGCACCAGUGUAUCAUCCACUUAAAGUGUGUUUCAUUGUAACCAAAUUCCUGUUGACCAAUUGAUUUGGGGAGUCUGUGGUGCAAGAUUUUUUCUCCUUAAGUUUUUUCUAUUCAUGUUGCACAAUCACAUUGAAAGCAACGGUAUUGUAUAUAUUUAUGGGGUACCAUGUGAUGUUUUUAUUGAUUAAUGCUUUAAUCAGGGCAAACCUCUCAACCAUUUCUUUUUGAUGAACCUACUUUGCCCUUUGUGUUGAACAGAAAGAUGGGUUUGUAUUGGUAGUUCAUGGGGAAAAUAGGCUUACUGAAAUGAAUAUUAACUAAACAGAAAUAAUGCAGUUCAAAUGCAGUGAAUGGCAGCAAGUCCCCUGUCAUCUCCAGACCAAAAUCCCAUACCCUCAUCACAGCCCAGUGCCAAUGGCAUCCAGACAGAAGGGAGAGACUAUGAUAGGCUUAAUAAACAUUUUUUUUUUGGAAGCAACAUUUUAGAUGAAAUGAGAAAAGAAUCCACAAAACUAAAGAAAGCUCAUUGAUGCAAUUAGGCAAGAUCUGAGCAACUACUGCAUAGAAAAGCAAAAGGAGAGAGGGACAACUUUAAUCUGGAGCGGGGGGAAAAAAAUCCUACAAACAGUAACCUUCAAUAACAACCCCAUAUGAUUUUGUGACCGAAAAAAGAAAAUGGAGAUAAGCAGACAGAAGGAGGGAACCAGCCAUCCUCUGAAAGCCUCAGACAUUGUGAUUCUGUGAUCACUGUCCUUCCUCUCUGCUGGCUGCUUGUCUCCCCCACAGGAUGGAAGAGCAGUAGAUGAAUUCCUCCAAACAAAAUACACAGAAAAUGUGAAGAUCUGACAGACAAGAACAUUGUGCAUUGGAAUAUUUUCACAUUGAGAUAAAGCCUCACAUUUUACACAGCCCAUUGCGGAAAUAAAGAAAAAGGUUUAUGGGGAAAAGAAUGCAGUUCUUUCUGGGAAUGUACCUCCCUAAAGUUACUAACCUUAUACAGUUUCAAAGAGCCAUAGAAAAAGCAGCAACUUGUCAUUCUGCCUAGGGAUAAACACAGGUUUGGGCCCAUUUUCCUUUGGCAGUAUGACUGAGGAUACAGGAAAUAAGGAAGACAGACAGUGCUGAAAGUAACAGCCAUUCAAAAGCUAUAUCCAUAGGUAUUCCCUGUAAAACAGAAUAGCAGAGUCUUAAGUUCUCCCUUCUCUGAUUGGUUUUUAUGGGCAGUUCCCCUCAAGUUAAGAGUUGUUAGGCUAAAUAGAAUUCUGCAGAGAAACCAUGAUUUCCUUACCUCUUUGUGGUGAGAAAUUCUCAUCAGAGCAGCUACUGAACCGAAGAAAGCCCAGCAGUCAGAGGUACACCAUCUAAGCCUCGGGUUAAGCUGAACAAAAGGAGAAAGCAGUCAGUGAGAGCCAACUGCAGUUCUGUCCUGAGGACAUGGAACCAAUGGAAUGUAAACUUGUGGUGGACAAAUUACUAUACUUGGAAAAUGCACAAAAUUGCUUUGUAAUUGCAUAGUAUUUUCAUAUAAAUUAGACUUUCACAUUA